CGGGCAUGAGGACGUAGGAGCAGAUCAUCUGGGAAGAGCGCGCCAGGAGGGAGCAGCGCAGAGCUGAGCCUCUGCACAGCCCCCAGCUUGGACACCCGCUGCCAGCGUUCGCCAAGCACCAGCAAGUAAGGCAGCAUUGAUGAACUCCAGCACCGCCAAGAAGGCAAUGAGGUUGGCCGCGAUGUUGGCCACGAGCCCCACCGAGGCAGCAGCCCCACUGCUAGCAGCUUCCAGGAUGUUCUGCUCUUCCCUGGGAGAAAAAAGACCCAGACAGGCUCACGUGGCCAGGCACCUCCAGUGUAAGGGACAUCCAUCAACUUUUCAUUGUGGCUGCAGAAACUGCCAGGUCCUUCUCCUUUCCACCACCAUCACAGAGCUAGACUCAAAGCCCUACCUUCAGGAUGAGCCACUGCAUGGCCCCGAGGUAAUAGAGGAUGGACAUCACACAGCUGAAGAAAACAACGAUGGGCAGAGUCUGCAGGCAAGACACCAGGGUACAGGAUUAAAGGGGAGUUGAGCAGCACAUCUAAGGACACUUGGGCACCAGGCUCCCCUGCCACAUGGGCUGGGCAUGGCGUGGUGUUGCAUAUCCAGCCCACAAUAUUGGGGUGCCACAACAUUGGGCCAGGCCAGCAGGAGGGACAGGGACCAGUAUAAAUUCCCCAUAGCUCUGAGG